GAACUUUCCAGAGAUGGAUUGGUGCCUUCGGGAACUGUGAGACAGGUGCUGCAUGGCUGUCGUCAGCUCGUGUUGUGAAAUGUUGGGUUAAGUCCCGCAACGAGCGCAACCCUUAUCCUUUGUUGCCAGCGAUUAGGUCGGGAACUCAAAGGAGACUGCCAGUGAUAAACUGGAGGAAGGUGGGGAUGACGUCAAGUCAUCAUGGCCCUUACGACCAGGGCUACACACGUGCUACAAUGGCGCAUACAAAGAGAAGCGACCUCGCGAGAGCAAGCGGACCUCAUAAAGUGCGUCGUAGUCCGGAUUGGAGUCUGCAACUCGACUCCAUGAAGUCGGAAUCGCUAGUAAUCGUGGAUCAGAAUGCCACGGUGAAUACGUUCCCGGGCCUUGUACACACCGCCCGUCACACCAUGGGAGUGGGUUGCAAAAGAAGUAGGUAGCUUAACCUUCGGGAGGGCGCUUACCACUUUGUGAUUCAUGACUGGGGUGAAGUCGUAACAAGGUAACCGUAGGGGAACCUGCGGUUGGAUCACCUCCUUACCUGAAAGAAGC
rnacentral:rRNA from 1 species